UGAGCUUGAAUCCUGGCUCAGGACGAACGCUGGCGGCGUGCCUAAUACAUGCAAGUCGAGCGGACUAAUGGGAGCUUGCUCCCUGAGGUCAGCGGCGGACGGGUGAGUAACACGUGGGCAACCUGCCUGUAAGACUGGGAUAACUCCGGGAAACCGGGGCUAAUACCGGAUAACCCGUUCCACCUCAUGGUGGAGCGGUAAAAGAUGGCCUCUGGCUAUCACUUACAGAUGGGCCCGCGGCGCAUUAGCUAGUUGGUAAGGUAACGGCUUACCAAGGCGACGAUGCGUAGCCGACCUGAGAGGGUGAUCGGCCACACUGGGACUGAGACACGGCCCAGACUCCUACGGGAGGCAGCAGUAGGGAAUCUUCCGCAAUGGACGAAAGUCUGACGGAGCAACGCCGCGUGAGUGAUGAAGGUUUUCGGAUCGUAAAGCUCUGUUGUUAGGGAAGAACAAGUGCCGUUUGAAUAAGGCGGCACCUUGACGGUACCUAACCAGAAGC
rnacentral:rRNA from 1 species